rnacentral:rRNA from 1 species
GAUGAACGCUGGCGGCGUGCUUAACACAUGCAAGUCGAACGGAAAGGCCAGUGCUUGCACUGGUACUCGAGUGGCGAACGGGUGAGUAACACGUGGGUGAUCUGCCCUGCACUUCGGGAUAAGCUUGGGAAACUGGGUCUAAUACCGGAUAGGACCACUUCGUUGUUGUUGUGGUGGAAAGUUUUUUCGGUGUGGGAUGAGCUCGCGGCCUAUCAGCUUGUUGGUGGGGUAAUGGCCUACCAAGGCGUCGACGGGUAGCCGGCCUGAGAGGGUGUACGGCCACAUUGGGACUGAGAUACGGCCCAGACUCCUACGGGAGACAGCAGUGGGGAAUAUUGCACAAUGGGCGGAAGCCUGAUGCAGCGACGCCGCGUGGGGGAUGACGGCCUUCGGGUUGUAAACUCCUUUGGCCAAAGACGAAUUUUGACGGUAUUUGGAGAAGAAGCACCGGCUAACUACGUG